rnacentral:rRNA from 1 species
GGUUUAGCUUUUUGAGGUGUUGGGAUUGGGUACGGGACAGCGGCGGGUGGAGCGCGAGCUAGGUGCCAGGCCCGCGGUAGCGGCGGCCGGAGCGGGAGCUAGGUUUCAGGCUGGCGGUAGCGGCGGCCGGAGCGCGAGCUGGGGCAGCAGUUCAGCAGCAGGGCCUCCAGCGUGGGGGGAGGGCGUUCGAGGUGGGGUGUAGGUGGGUAGGAGCGUGAGACGGGGGAGAGGGGCUCUAGCUCGGCGCCAGGAGCGUGAGGUGUUAGGCUGCCGGCAGGAGCACAGGAGGACUGUAGGUCGGCAACAGGAGCGCUUAGAGGUAGGGACGAUGGAGGCCCCGAGGUAGCAGCACGAGGGCGACCACUGCCUACACGACGAUAGCCCCGAGGUAACGGCCGGAGGGCGACGACGGCCUGUACGACUACGGUCCCUAGGUAGAGGUCCGAGUAAUGCGACGAUGGCCUGGACGACGGCCCCGAGGUAGAGGAAGCUCGAUACGGGGAGGGCUUAGGUCAGCAGGGGCACGGAACUCCAUUCGCAGUUGAGGAGGAUUCAAAAGGAAACGACAUGACGACGUGAAUUAAGUAUACAGCAACGAACACUGUCAUCUGUUGGCCUGUUCUUACACAAAGACAACGAACUAACAAAACAUGACGAUAAACGGACUUAUUACUUAUUACUAACAACGAAGUGGCUACGUUUUGAUUGUGACACCGUGAUCGGUUGAAAUCUAUGAACCGUUUAAACUAUAAUUACCACGUAGCACCUUUUUUGCACCAACAGAUUCGGAUCUACUCAGCUGUUGCUUCGAGCCCCUGCACUAUACCGCGAGCCACAUCCACCGGUACCACCUGGGCUUCGACCGACUCUAUUCGCUACCCCAGUCACAACACGAGGAGGGUAAGAGUAAUUGGUUUAUCACGUCUGACACCGACAUACUGAGCACAUAUAUAGGUGAACCUGGUGGUUUUAGUUUGACUAUCGUUCUUGAACUAUAUCACGAUUCAAUAUCAAGCAUUUGUCUAGGUAUAAUCAAAUCUCUAGGCGUGUUGUUUAAAUAUGUAAGUCUUACUGGUGGUUUUAGGUCGUCGUGUUAAUUGAUCUAACCUUCUUAAAUAAACUAAUUAUACACGUGUACUUUGUUGUUUAAUUGGGCACACUUGAUAGGUGUAGCCAGACUCAAUACGACUUGAAAAACUAGAAAAAUGAUUGGUGUAGCCACCAGAUUUUCUUAAUUACUCAUCGUUGUGUCUGAUUCUUUAACGAUAAAUAGAAUAGAUACGACUCUUUGGCCUGUGACUUAAAUGGUUGUACCUUCCUAAGGAGUUCUCGUGUAGUCGUGGACUUCGACGACGACAGCGUCGAGAUGUUAAAAAGAAGAAAGGCCUGCGGGCUGUCGGGUUCGUACGUUCUCAUCGUCGUGCUCGUCCGGCACGGCACGUUGUAGUCGUCUCGUGAGAGUCACGUCGCCUUGAUGAGCCCGUAGAGACUACUGUCAUAUAAACUAUGACUUCAACUUCUAACAUCGUGCCGUAAGCAUGAUCAUUAUUAAUGUAUAGUUUCUACGGUUCUUCUGUUGAUUACACAGUCCUCCACGUCGAUGAAUAGGUGUGGAUCGUAACCUACACUCCUCCUGAACCUCACAGUACCUUGUGUAUACCGACAAACAUCAUAAAACCUGGUUGGUUGAAGUUAGUAAAGAACUUAGAAUACACACAAGACCUGGUAAACCACGAAGUUCACAAAACCUCAUCUUUGAAACACGAGUACAUACACUAAAUACACAAGACCUGGUAACAAACUUAAUCAAGUCUGAUCGUUUAUCACCGGGAAACUGAACACACAAGACCUACCAGUUUGAUACGGACACUUGGGGUCUAUCCAGUAGUAGAGUUGAUCGUGUCGUCCAUAAGGCUCCGUGGUUACCGGCAGCACACCGCGUGCUGGACGGAGCACCCAAGGUAGACUUUCGUUUUUACAAAGUUUCC